UUCCCGGUUGAUCCUGUCGGACCCGACUGCUAUCAGAGUGGGACUAAGCCAUGCGAGUCAACAUAGCAAUAUGUGGCAUACGGCUCAGUAACACGUAGUCAACAUGCCCAGGGGACGUGGAUAACCUCGGGAAACUGAGGAUAAACCGCGAUAAGUCACUACUUCUGGAAUGGGUAAUGACUCAAAUCUACAUGGCCCCUGGAUUGGACUGCGGCCGAUCAGGCUGUUGGUGAGGUAAUGGCCCACCAAACCUGUAACCGGUACGGGCUCUGAGAGGAGGAGCCCGGAGAUGGGCACUGAGACAAGGGCCCAGGCCCUAUGGGGCGCAGCAGGCGCGAAACCUCUGCAAUAGGCGAAAGCCUGACAGGGUUACUCUGAGUGAUUUCCGUUAAGGAGAUCUUUUGGCACCUCUAAAAAUGGUGCAGAAUAAGGGGUGGGCAAGUCUGGUGUCAGCCGCCGCGGUAAUACCAGCACCCCGAGUGGUCGGGACGUUUAUUGGGCCUAAAGCAUCCGUAGCCGGUUCUACAAGUCUUCCGUUAAAUCCACCUGCUUAACAGAUGGGCUGCGGAAGAUACUAUAGAGCUAGGAGGCGGGAGAGGCAAGCGGUACUCGAUGGGUAGGGGUAAAAUCCGUUGAUCCAUUGAAGACCACCAGUGGCGAAGGCGGCUUGCCAGAACGCGCUCGACGGUGAGGGAUGAAAGCUGGGGGAGCAAACCGGAUUAGAUACCCGGGUAGUCCCAGCUGUAAACGAUGCAGACUCGGUGAUGGGUUGGCCUCGCGCCUGCCCAGUGCCGCAGGGAAGCCGUUAAGUCUGCAGCCUGGGGAGUACGGUCGCAAGACUGAAACUUAAAGGAAUUGGCGGGGGAACACA
rnacentral:rRNA from 1 species